ensembl:snoRNA
CCUCCCUUUCUUGACAAGGACCAGGUAUGUACGUUCCCUAUCAUGUCUGGAGGCAGAGGAAAAGCGCUCCAGUGCCCUGGGCAUCAUGUCUUUGGUGCUGGUGGCUUCCUGUCUGCCAUUUCUAACCUCAGGCACCAGGACGCAG